rnacentral:rRNA from 1 species
GGCUGCAAUCGCCUUGUUGUAAACUCAGAUAACAUGGAAGUGAUCGACAUAAUGAAAAAUGUAGGACACUCGGCGGGAGCGGCAGCUGCAGUUUUUGAUGAUUGUUACUUUUUGGCUUGUGAUUUUCCUAGAGUUAAAUUUGAACACUAUAAUAGGGAAGCAAAUAGAGUGGCCCAUGAAAUAGCUAGGUUAGCAUUUUUUGCCACUAGGGAUUGGUUUGAGGAGCCGAUGAAGGAUAUUGUACCUCUUCUUAUGGACGAUGUAACAAUUAUUUCUAAUUAA